GGGGCCAUGUUGAGGCAGCCAUCUUGCCGCCUUUGGAGACGCCAGUUCGAUGGCCCUGGGCUGCACGGGAAGGAGAGAGCCCCGCGUGGAGUCCUGCCUUCUGCUGCUGCAGUUGUGUGAGGUGACUAUGGUAGAGUAAUGGUAAUAACUGCAGGAUGGAGGUCUCCUAUUCUACAAAACUGUACUAAAGUCCUCUUGAAUACAAAACCACUUGCUAAAACCUGGAUCACACAAUCGGAGGACAGGUCAUUGAUUUAGCAUUUACAUCUUUGACAACUGCACACCAAACAUUUUACUGUUGGUAAGUGAUUCUCUAAUAUCUUUAAUAUUGGAAACUGACAACCACCGUCUAUAACAUGAAAAGCAUUACCAGGUGAACUGUAAACUGUUAGAUGGACAUUACUGCAGGAGUUUGGCUAUACCGAGACUAUUAUUCAGUCUGAGUAUUUAUUACCUUGUUUGUUUUGAACUUUCCCAAGACUUUCUGUAAGAAUCAAAGACUAAACUACACUUGGUGGCAUAUAACUGUAACGCCAGUACUUGAGAGGCUGAGUCGGGGGACUGCCCUGCUUUGAGGCUAAUGUUGGCUACAGAAUUACAGUGUAUCAUAACAUUUGAACCUUUAGAAUUAAGAGUACAGAGAGAAAUGAAAAGAAAGUAUUUUAAAAUUACAAUGGAGUGGUUAGGCAAGGCUCCUGAUAAACAUUAGGAAGGAAUCUGUCCACUCGUCUUCUAUGAAUAGGGAAGAGGGUAGGAAUAUUCCCUGAGGACCAUCCUUAUUUGAGUGUUGGUUUUCCUCAGAGUGCUCAAGAAUGUGACCAAUGCAAGGAAUAGUUUCUGUAAUUACUGAAAUAGACACAACUCUAAAGCCAAAAAUAAUGAGGAAUGGUAACUUAGGGGAAUUCAACAGGAGAGGAAACAAUAGGCUCACAUCUUGCCACUGCGGUGGAAAGUUGAAAUCAGCUGGGUAACUGUAUUUAUGGGUUACAGG